CCGCCGCCGCCGCCCGCCGCCGCUGCUCGCCAUCCCACCCGCCGCCGCCGCUCGCCAUCCCUCCCCGAGCGGCACUCCCAGACCCUCAACACGCCGCGCGCCGCCGCUCGCCAUCCCCCGCCGCCGCCGCUCCCACACCCUAAGCACGCCGCGCUCCGCCGUCGUCGCGUCCUCUGAUCCUCGCGUCACCGCCAGUCGCCAUCCCUCGCCGCCGCCGCCGCCGCUCGGCAUCCCCCGCAUCCGCCGCUCGCUCCAUCGACGAUCUGCGCCGCCCCGACCUCUGCUCGUGUAGAGCAUGCCUAUCCCCCGGCCGAUUCGCAGCGUGGCUGGAGAAGGAAGCUCGAGGCCUCGAGCGCUGCCGCCCAUUCAUCUCCCGAGCCCAAGUGCCGCCGGCCGAUUGGAGCCUGUCCUUCGCCGAUUCGAGCCAGUCCGCGCCGAUUCGUCGUCCUCCACAGGUGGUCCUCUCCUCCCCCGCUCGAGCGCGGCUGCCGCUGUGUGAGCUACACCCCCGCUCAAGCCCAUCUCUGCCCCAAGCUUGACGCCGGUGUCGCUGCUGCCCACAGGCCCUCCGCCCCAAGGUUGUCAGGCUGGAGGUCCCGCAGGUCCACUGCGGAGCUCGCUCACGCAGGCCCGAAGUCUGGAUCUUGCACGGAUCCGGCAAGGACUGGUCCGGCAGCUCCCUGCUACGACGUUCUUAUCGGGUGGCUUUCCAUUGGAGGCAGUGGUGAGAUUGAAGCCUUAGGGGCUAGGUAAGAGGCCGAGAGCAAUGAGCUCCAAGGGUGUACAAAGGCGCGGCCAGGAUGACAAAUGCGGAAGAGACCUGGACCGGAGAGAUACUGCAGACUUCGGGCCCGCCGUCCCAGACCCUACUUCUUCAUCCCAGUGCUGAUUCCAUUUUGUGCUAACAUUGAUGCUUCAAGCAGUCGAUUUGCUUGUUUCGGCUGCGCAGCAACUGCUACAUGGCGCAGCCGAUGGCUUGCUCGGUGGGCAAGCUGCCUGACAGCCUUGCUGGCAGGGAUCCUUAAUGAUGCGGGCAACACAGAUCUAGCGACAGCCAGCACAUGAUUGAUGCUAGUGACGCAUCAUCUUGUGCAAGACCAAGAACAGCAACAUCGAAUCCGUACUGGACAAAGCACGAGAGAUUGGAGAGAGGGUCAAAGCAUCUUCGGCAGGCAUGACUAUGUGACUGCUCAACUAGAAGGAUCGAUCCAAAGAGCUGCGUGCUGAGACAUUGUACUACCUCACUUUUCAUAAGCAGAACAAGAUUGUCACGCUGCCUGACGAAAUACUUCAAUACCGUCGAGAUGAUCAUCACCCUUUUUUCUAUCAAAUUUUUUUGUUUCAUUACAACCUUUUCCUAUUUCAAUUUUUAUUCAUUUGUACCUCUACAGAUUUCACAUUCUAUGUCUACUUGAAUAGUCUUCUGAAAUGUUGUGUAUCUUGUCGGGGCAAUUGGCGGUUCGCAAAGCUUAUGCGAGAAUUGGCUCGCGAGAUAGGUGUGGCUGGAGUCAUUUGUUACCAUGUAGUACACUUUUGAGGAGACAUGUCUUGAUGUAGUUUUUUGUUCUGUUUUAAGCAUGUAUGCCUCUCCUACGAGGCCGCUGCACCUGGCUUUCCUAUCACUAUUGCUUUCCUCUUGCUACUGCAAUGGAAAUGUGACACCAGUAAUGUAGCACAAGGUUUCACCUUUUUUGUCGUA